GGAAUAGCUCAGUUGGUAGAGCACGACCUUGCCAAGGUCGGGGUCGCGAGUUCGAGUCUCGUUACC
rnacentral:tRNA from 1 species